rnacentral:lncRNA from 1 species
GUGCUUCUUCUUAAAGGACAUGAAGUUGACGGCGUCAUGCGAAUCGAACAUGCAACUUGCGCGACCGUCUCUCCGUGACCAUUGCCGAAGGCCUCACAAUUUGAUUAGCGUUUCUGAGAUGAUCUGCGCUUUGGUGAUCGCAUGUGUCCACGCCUCCGAAAUGUGCUCAGUAAGCUGAUAUUUCUGGACCCUUCUGGAGAAUCUCGGAGGUGAUAUCCAAAUCUGGCUGCCGUACUGGCAUGCACCCGGAAACCACGAAACUCACAUCACCCUCGCGCAUGGUGCUGCCGAUUCCCCGUCACGCGACGGUAGCAGUCUCAAUCCCCUAUUGGGUCGGUGACUGACGCGUGCAAAUUUUGACUGAUUAGCUUCCAGACUGCUCUUGUAACGUCGGCUUACGGACUGCGCUUGCUAAGUGCGUUGGCUUCUCCGACCGCUCUCUGCACCGCGAGACAGCACAGCAGUGUGGCUAAGCAAUGGACCUGUACGGAUUAAAGGGCCCACGCCCUUUUCCCGGCUUCGCAGGAGCCGACACCACCUUGUUUUCCAGGCAGAUCACAGUCUGGGAUCUGGUUCCUGUCGACAAACGGA